UCUCUGGUGUACCGGUUGUGACGCCAGUCGCAUCGCCGGGUAGCUAUAUGCGGAAGAGAUAAACGCUGAAAGCAUCUAAGCGUGAAACUCGCCUCAAGAUGAGACUUCCCUGGAGACUUGAUCUCCCUGAAGGGCCGUGGAAGACCACUACGUUGAUAGGUCGGGUGUGGAAGCGCAGUAAUGCGUUAAGCUAACCGAUACUAAUUACCCGUGAGGCUUGAUCCU
rnacentral:rRNA from 1 species